GGGAUUGCCUCAGUAACGGCGAGUGAAGCGGCAAUAGCUCAGAUUUGAAAUCUGGCCCCGUCGGGGUCCGAGUUGUAAUCUGCAGAGAGUGCUUCGGGUGAGACCGCGGUCUAAGUCCCUUGGAACAUGGCCUCAGAGAGGGUGAGAAUCCCGUAUGCGACCGUGGCUCGAACCCGUGUGAAGUCUCUUCGAAGAGUCGAGUUGUUUGGGAAUGCAGCUCAAAGUGGGUGGUAAAUUUCAUCUAAAGCUAAAUACUGGCUGGAGACCGAUAGCGCACAAGUAGAGUGAUCGAAAGAUGAAAAGCACUUUGGAAAGAGAGUCAAAAAGUACGUGAAAUUGUUGAAAGGGAAGCGCUUGCAACCAGACCUGCCCGUAGGCGAUCAGCCGCUGUUCUCAGCGGUGCACUCGCUCUGCGAUCAGGCCAGCAUCGGUUUCGGCGGUUGGAUAAAGGCCUUGGGAAUGUAGCUCCCCUUCGGGGGAGUCUUAUAGCCCUCGGUGCAAUGCGGCCAGCCGAGACCGAGGACCGCGCUUCGGCUAGGAUGCUGGCGUAAUGGUUGUAAGCGACCCGUCUUGAAACACGGACCAAGGAGUCUAACAUCGAUGCGAGUGUUUGGGUGUAAAACCCAUGCGCGGAAUGAAAGUGAACGGAGGUGAGAACCCUGAAGGGCGCAUCAUCGACCGAUCCAGAUGUCUUCGGAUGGAUUUGAGUAUGAGCAUCGCUGUUGGGACCCGAAAGGUAACUUAGCCUGAACUUACUCGAUACUACAGAAUUUAUGCUAAUAUCUUGUCCAGAUGGUGAACUAUGCCUGAAUAGGGUGAAGCCAGAGGAAACUCUGGUGGAGGCUCGCAGCGGUUCUGACGUGCAAAUCGAUCGUCAAAUUUGGGUAUAGGGGCGAAAGACUAAUCGAACCA
rnacentral:rRNA from 1 species